GUCGAACGGUAACAGAAAAAGCUUGCUUUUUGCUGACGAGUGGCGAACGGCUGCGUAACGCGUAUGCAACCUACCUUCUUCUAAGGAAUAGCCCAGAGAAAUUUGGAUUAAUACCUUACGACAAUAUUUAUUCGCAUGUUUAAAUAUUUAAAACUCCGGUGGAAGAAGAUGGGCAUGCGUAACAUUAGUUUGUUGGUGAGGUAAUGGCUCACCAAGACUACGAUGUUUAGGGGGUCUGAGAGGAUGAUCCCCCACACUGGUACUGAGACACGGACCAGAUUCCUACGGGAGGCAGCAGUGAGGAAUAUUGGUCAAUGGACGAAAGUCUGAACCAGCCAUGCCGCGUGAAGGAUGACGGCCCUACGGGUUGUAAACUUCUUUUGUUUAGGAAGAAACCCCUCUACGUGUAGAGGGUUGACAGUACUAUUCGAAUAAGCACCGGCUAACUCCGUGCCAGCAGCCGCGGUAAUACGGAGGGUGCGAGCGUUAUCCGGAAUUAUUGGGUUUAAAGGGUGCGUAGGCGGAAAUUUAAGUCAGUGGUGAAAGCCUGCAGCUUAACUGUAGAAUUGCCAUUGAUACUGGAUUUCUUGAAUCUAAUGGAAGUAGGCGGAAUAUGACAUGUAGCGGUGAAAUGCUUAGAUAUGUCAUAGAACACCGAUAGCGAAGGCAGCUUACUAUGUUAGUAUUGACGCUAAUGCACGAAAGCGUGGGGAGCGAACAGGAUUAGAUACCCUGGUAGUCCACGCCGUAAACGAUGAUUACUCGCUAUUGGCGAUACACUGUCAGUGGCUAAGCGAAAGU
rnacentral:rRNA from 1 species